GGUGUUCUUCCCGAUAUCUACACAUUCCACCGUUACACCGGGAAUUCCAGUCUCCCCUACCGCACUCAAGCCCGCCCGUACCCGGCGCGGAUCCACCGUUAAGCGAUGGACUUUCACACCGGACGCGACGAACCGCCUACGAGCCCUUUACGCCCAAUAAUUCCGGAUAACGCUUGCACCCUACGUAUUACCGCGGCUGCUGGCACGUAGUUAGCCGGUGCUUAUUCGAAAGGUACACUCACCCCGAAGGGCUUGCUCCCAGUCAAAAGCGGUUUACAACCCGAAGGCCGUCAUCCCGCACGCGGCGUCGCUGCAUCAGGCUUGCGCCCAUUGUGCAAUAUUCCCCACUGCUGCCUCCCGUAGGAGUCUGGGCCGUAUCUCAGUCCCAAUGUGGCCGGUCGCCCUCUCAGGCCGGCUACCCGUCGAAGCCAUGGUGGGCCGUUACCCCGCCAUCAAGCUGAUAGGACGCGACCCCAUCCCAUACCGAUGAAUCUUUCCCGACACGACAUGCGUCAUGUCGGAGCAUCCGGCAUUACCACCCGUUUC
rnacentral:rRNA from 1 species